rnacentral:rRNA from 1 species
AGAGUUUGAUCCUGGCUCAGAACGAACGCUGGCGGCAGGCCUAACACAUGCAAGUCGAACGAUGUAGCAAUACAUAGUGGCGCACGGGUGAGUAACGCGUGGGAAUGUACCAUUUGGUGGGGAAUAACUUCGGGAAACUGAAGCUAAUACCGCAUACGCCCUUCGGGGGAAAGAUUUAUCGCCAAAUGAUCAGCCCGCGUGAGAUUAGAUAGUUGGUGGGGUAAUGGCCUACCAAGUCUACGAUCUCUAGCUGGUCUUAGAGGAUGACCAGCCACACUGGAACUGAGACACGGUCCAGACUCCUACGGGAGGCAGCAGUGGGGAAUAUUGGGCAAUGGACGCAAGUCUGACCCAGCCAUGCCGCGUGAAUGAUGAAGGCUUUAGGGUUGUAAAGUUCUUUCGCCGAUGAAGAUAAUGACGGUAGUCGGAGAAGAAGCCCCGGCUAACUUCGUGCCAGCAGCCGCGGUAAUACGAAGGGGGCUAGCGUUGUUCGGAAUUACUGGGCGUAAAGCGCGCGUAGGCUGUGCGACAAGUCAGUGGUGAAAUCCCGGAG